GACGAACGCUGGCGGCGUGCCUAACACAUGCAAGUCGAGGGUUUUAGUAGUAAUACGAAGAACACUGGCGCACGGGUGAGUAACGCGUAGAUCAUCUGCCCCUAACACUGACAUAACAGUUCUAACGGACUGCUAAUAUCAGAUGUGAUAAGCAAUUAUUAAAGGGUAACCGGUUAGGGAUGAGUCUGCGUCUGAUUAGGUAGUUGGUGAGGUAACGGCUCACCAAGCCUACGAUCAGUAACUGGUCUGAGAGGACGAACAGUCACACUGGAACUGAGACACGGUCCAGACUCCUACGGGAGGCAGCAGUGAGGAAUAUUGCACAAUGGGCGAAAGCCUGACGCAGCCAUACCGCGUGUGUGAAGAAGGCCUGG
rnacentral:rRNA from 1 species